rnacentral:rRNA from 1 species
CCUACGGGUGGCAGCAGUGGGGAAUCUUGCGCAAUGGCCGAAAGGCUGACGCAGCGACGCCGCGUGGAGGAUGACGCCCUUCGGGGUGUAAACUCCUGUUGCCCGGGACGAAUACCUGUUUCGACAGGGGUGACGGUACCGGGUGAGGAAGCACCGGCUAACUCUGUGCCAGCAGCCGCGGUAAUACAGAGGGUGCGAGCGUUGUCCGGAAUCACUGGGCGUAGCGGGCGCGUAGGUGGCGCGGUAUGGGGAAAGGCCGGGGCUCAACCCCGGAGCGGCCAUGCGAACUGCCGCGCUGGAGCACGGUAGAGGAACAUGGAAUUCCGGGUGUAGCGGUGGAAUGCGUAGAGAUCCGGAAGAACACCGGUGGCGAAGGCGGUGUGCUGGGCCGUUGCUGACACUGAGGCGCGACAGCGUGGGGAGCAAACAGGAUUAGAUACCCUAGUAGUC